rnacentral:rRNA from 1 species
GACGAACGCUGGCGGCGUGCUUAACACAUGCAAGUCGAACGAAGUGGCGAACGGGUGAGUAACGCGUAAUCAACCUGCCCUUCAGAGGGGGAAAACACUUGGAAACGACUGCUAAUAUCGCAUACUGAAGGAGGGGAUUGCGUCUGAUUAGCUAGUUGGAGGGGUAACGGCCCACCAAGGCGAGGAUCCGUAGCCGGUCUGAGAGAAUGGACGGCCACAGUUGGACUGGAACACGGCCCAGACUCCUACGGGAGGCAGCAGUGGGGAAUCUUGCUAAAUGGACGAAAGUCUGACGGAGCAACGCCGCGUGAGUGAUGACGGCUUUCGGGUUGUAAAGCUCUGUUAAUCGGGACGCGGUACCGGAAUAGAAAGCCACGGCUAACUACGUGCCAGCAGCCGCGGUAAUUC